UGGGGAAUUUUGGACAAUGGGCGAAAGCCUGAUCCGGCAAUGCCGCGUGUGUGAAGAAGGCCUUCGGGUUGUAAAGCACUUUUGUCCGGAAAGAAAUCCUUGGCUCUAAUACAGUCGGGGGAUGACGGUACCGGAAGAAUAAGCACCGGCUAACUACGUGCCAGCAGCCGCGGUAAUACGUAGGGUGCAAGCGUUAAUCGGAAUUACUGGGCGUAAAGCGUGCGCAGGCGGUUUGCUAAGACCGAUGUGAAAUCCCCGGGCUCAACCUGGGAACUGCAUUGGUGACUGGGCAGGCUAGAGUAUGGCAGAGGGGGGUAGAAUUCCACGUGUAGCAGUGAAAUGCGUAGAGAUGUGGAGGAAUACCGAUGGCGAAGGCAGCCCCCUGGGCCAAUACUGACGCUCAUGCACGAAAGCGUGGGGAGCAAACAGGAUUAGAUACCCUGGUAGUCCACGCCCUAAACGAUGUCAACUAGUUGUUGGGGAUUCAUUUCCUUAGUAACGUAGCUAACGCGUGAAGUUGACCGCCUGGGGAGUACGUCGCAAGAUUAAAACUCAAAGGAAUUGACGGGGUCAUAGCUG
rnacentral:rRNA from 1 species